AAUUAGCGUGUACUGUGGUUUCCUUUUCUGGCUGUCUCCAUUUCACAGUGACUGGAGGCCGAAGAAACACAUUAUCCAGAAUGCUUGCCAGCAGCUUUCUGGUUUAGAAUCUACCAGGCAGAGGCCAAAAGCUCUGAAAGGUCAAAGACAAGAAGAAACGGUUAUUCUCUGUCCAGGGAGUGAAUCCUUGUGGGUUUCAACAGAUUGUGACUCGUUUGUAACCAAAAACCGUGGGAAUUAUUCUCUUGCUGCUUUGGUGAUCAAAGAACAUGGAGGGAAGAUUUCCUGGAUGCCGGAACAAUACUAGGCUUCUCACCGCAGCCCAUGAAGCUAAGACAGGGUGAGCUCUGUGUUUGGCCCCCUCAGGUUCCAGCCCUUGGCUCGGCACUGGCAUUGGCUACGUUGACAGCUAAGAUCGAUGGAGCAUGUAUUGGCUAGUCAUCGCAUUAUGCAUUUCAGGAGCGAUAUUGGAGACUGACAUCUUUCUGUUUCAGUAUCUUGAUGGAUCAGAAGACUAAAAGUCAUCAGGGUUAAAGCAGGAGUUAAGAUUGACAUAACUUUGAGAAACUAGGAAUCUGCAGUGGUUUAGUAUACCGGUGCCCUGAAGUUCUGAACAAAUCUUUCUCAAGGGUGAAGUUACGUGGAUGAAUGGUAACAAAUCCAUACAGGGAAGCAAGUGAUUAAGGCCAGUGUUUGAGGGCACACCACAGAAUCGUUAAUCAUAGGCACCAUGAUAUGCAGAAACUCUAAUUUUGAUAUUGCCAGAGCCUGAAAGUUCUUAAGAAAAGGAAUCAAUUCUUGAUCUUACAGCACAAGCCAUUGCUCUUCUAUUCAGGAAUUUUUCCCCUGUACCC
rnacentral:lncRNA from 1 species